rnacentral:lncRNA from 1 species
CGAAACCUAAUAGCCCUAAACAGCUUCCAGAAACCCUAGGGUUUCUGGGACAGACCAGGCGUCGCAACGCCCUCGCACAGCAGACCCAGCCGCCUCAUGCCUCCAGUCUCCUCAAUCAAGCACGUACACUGCCACGUAUGCCUUCGUGCACCCAGCUGGCCCCCGUACGAUCGUACCUGCGCGCAAACAAACAAAGGCAGCAG